AACGAACGCUGGCGGCAUGCCUAACACAUGCAAGUCGAACGAAGUCUUCGGACUUAGUGGCGCACGGGUGCGUAACGCGUGGGAAUCUGCCCUUGGGUGCGGAAUAACUUCUCGAAAGGGAUGCGUAAUACCGCAUAAUGUCGUAAGACCAAAGAUUUAUCGCCCAAGGAUGAGCCCGCGUAAGAUUAGCUAGUUGGUGGGUAAAAGCCUACCAAGGCGACGAUCUUUAGCUGGUCUGAGAGGAUGAUCAGCCACACUGGGACUGAGACACGG
rnacentral:rRNA from 1 species